GCCGAGAUAGCUCAGUGGUAGAGCACUCCCUUGGUAAGGGAGAGGUCGGGGGUUCAAGUCCCCUUCUUGGCU
rnacentral:tRNA from 1 species